GUGUCAGCAGCCGCGGUAAUACGUAGGGUGCAAGCGUUAAUCGGAAUUACUGGGCGUAAAGCGUGCGCAGGCGGUUUUGUAAGACAGAGGUGAAAUCCCCGGGCUCAACCUGGGAACUGCCUUUGUGACUGCAAAGCUGGAGUGCGGCAGAGGGGGAUGGAAUUCCGCGUGUAGCAGUGAAAUGCGUAGAUAUGCGGAGGAACACCGAUGGCGAAGGCAAUCCCCUGGGCCUGCACUGACGCUCAUGCACGAAAGCGUGGGGAGCAAACAGGAUUAGAUACCCUGGUAGUCCACGCCCUAAGUUGUUUCUUCUGGUUGUUGGGUCUCUUCUGACUCAGUAACGAAGCUAACGCGUGAAGUUGACCGCCUGGGGAGUAUGGCCGCAAGGUUGAAACUUAAAGGAAUUGACGG
rnacentral:rRNA from 1 species